GCCCAGACUCCUACGGGAGGCAGCAGUGGGGAAUAUUGCACAAUGGGGGAAACCCUGAUGCAGCGACGCCGCGUGAGCGAAGAAGUACCUCGGUAUGUAAAGCUCUAUCAGCAGGGAAGAAGAUGACGGUACCUGACCAAGAAGCUCCGGCUAAAUACGUGCCAGCAGCCGCGGUAAUACGUAUGGAGCAAGCGUUAUCCGGAUUUACUGGGUGUAAAGGGAGCGUAGACGGCGGCGCAAGUCCGGAGUGAAAGCCCACGGCCCAACCGUGGGACUGCUCUGGAAACUGUGCGGCUUGAGUGCGGGAGGGGCAGGCGGAAUUCCUAGUGUAGCGGUGAAAUGCGUAGAUAUUAGGAGGAACACCGGCGGCGAAGGCGGCCUGCUGGGCCGUAACUGACGUUGAGGCUCGAAAGCGUGGGGAGCAAACAGGAUUAGAUACCCGCGUAUA
rnacentral:rRNA from 1 species